UCUUCUAACUAUAAAAGUCUCUGUUACCCACCAUCCCCUGUGAAGAGCUUUUCACUGGUCCUGAGGUCUUGUGUUCUGCUGCAACGAUUGUUCCUUCUUGAAUCGAGGAUAUCGAACCCAUUAUUAUUAUUUUUUUCUUUUGGUUAUCUGAGAGUUUUGGCAACAAGGUGGGGCCCAAAAGUAACUGUUGAAAUCUUGGGGACUGCUCGUAGACCCAGGUGAAGAUACCACAGAGCCUGUUUUGUUUGUUGUCUCUUCGGCUGCUUUCCAGGAUCUCCGGUGAACUGAAGAAUGGAAUGAGAAAAUGCAUAUCUUUAAAAGGUACCCCUGAUGGACAUAAAAAUUUUGUCUCAAGCGGGCAACAGAUGACAACUAUGUUGCCUGGAACACAAGUGGACUCAGUAAAUG